UUCCGUUAGGGAGUUGUAAGACUUAUUUAUACUUGGGUGCUUGGUAAAAUCUAGACCAUACACAAACUAAGGUUUUAGAUUCCCCAAAAUACUGCUAAAGCUAGUAGUUUCCAAGAAUUGGUCAGAUAAGACUUAUUUACUGAUUCAAAAUCAUCCUAUCUUGCAGGAUUUCGAGAAUUAUGGAUGUUUACUUUAAUACCUCAUUGGCUUUAUCUAUAAUAUUCCAGUUUACUCGAAUUUUUACAACGAUGGCUUUCACACUAUCGUCUUUUUCAAGGUCAAAUAUUAUUUUCUCUUUUUCUAUUUUUUUUCUAUUUUUUUUAUUAUUUUGUAUAAAUUAUGCACUUUUACUCUUGUAAUGAUUCCUUCAUGUAACGAGCAUUCAGUCAACACUCCCACACCAGAUGGCAUAAGGUGUUGGGCAUCAAGACUCCCCUACGGACUUAUGCUCGGGUUCAUCAUCACAA
rnacentral:lncRNA from 1 species